UUUUUAAUUUUCCAUUUAUUUUUUCUAACCUUAUCUCAUCCGAUCCCUAGGUUUCUCUUCAGCCUCCCAUUCGCCAGAUCUCUAUUCUCGGUCUCAACUCUGAACUUGCCCCCUCUUCUUCUCUCUGCAACUCCCCAAUCGCCUCCAUCACUAUUCUCGUUCUCAACCUAUUGCACCACAGCCACCACCAUCACUCCACCCCAUAUCCUCACACCACCACUGAAGCCAAUCCCUCUCUCUUUGUUCGAGCUCUCUGCUAUGGGUUUUUCGGUGAGAUCUCUGGCCAAACCUCGGCCUCUCGCUCUCGAUCUCAUCUCUUCUCCAUUGGCUUCUUCUCCGGCCGACCCUCAGCCAAGGAGAUAACAUUCUCAUCUCGCCGCUAUCCACUGCUGCAAUUUUCGGUCAUCUUCUCCGGCGAAUCUCAAGCCGUCAUCUCAUCAUUCUCGGGUUGGUCUCUCUCUCGGAUUUUUUCUUUUCAUUCCUUUACUCUUCUCUCUAUCUUUCGGUGAGAGAGAGUUACACAUUUGAGGGGAAUUGAACUACAAAUCAAAACCAUGAUGAUCUCUUUUAUAUGAACAGAGAAGUAUGUUCUUUUUGUCAACAACAAAUUCUUGCCUGGAACUAUUUAAUAUAUUAUAUAUAUAUCUUGAUUCCAUUCCAUGUCUUUGAUGCACAAAUUAGAAACAACUUUUUAUGCUAAAGGACUUGAAGUUUACAUUAUUCAUGAAUGCACGCUACCCUAUUUCAGGCCUUGCUUCAGGCUGUUUUUUUUUUUUUUUUUUUGGGAAAGUGCUUCAGGCUAUUUUUGUUUAUAUAUCAAUUAUGCAUAUCAUAUGUUUAACCCUCAGAAGUUAGAACUGAUGCAAUAAAUAGUUAUAUACUUACACCAUGUCAUAUACCAGUAUUAGUUUUAAACACAGAUAAAACUCAAAAUCUUUUGAAGUUAUUAUUUAUUAAAUAAAAACCAACAUGGUGUAAAUACCAUGUUUUUUUACAAUCUUCCAAAAAAAAUUUAGGAAUAAUUUGUUGUUCUUGUUGGUUUUAGUUAGUGAAGUUAAUGAGGAUAUAUCAUUUUUACUUGAUAAAUGCGAGCUACGUCUUUGUUCCACAAUGUUGCACACUCCGGCCCCCCCUUACAUUGAAUCCUGGCUCCGCCCCUGUUGGUCGAUCUCUUUUUGCAAUUCAGUUCAAUUUAUGAUUAUGCUAUUUAUAUGUUUUUCUGUUGUUCAAUGAAUUUCCGCAUCAUUUAUGAAUAAACCUAAAGCACGGCAGUAGGAAAGAACCAACCACGAUAACCUAUUAAUGCAUUUUUGCGACGUAUGUUUUAGUAAAGAUUGUAUUUCAGAUGAAGGUUCAUGUUUUACUCUUUAAUACAAAUUGUUCAGCAAACACCUCAGUGAAUGCUAUAGCUUUCCUCGCCAGGCUAGAAAGAGUUUUGAGUAUAUAAACAUCAUGCUACCUGCAGACACUGUGUGUGUGUGUGAGAGAGAGAGAGAGAGAGAGAUUUAGUGGGAUGAAUGGAUAAGGUUUUAGACAUUGGGCUAAGACUUGCAAGCCAGUAGGUACCACUGUGUGAGAAACUAUAAUAGUUCCUUGUUGGACUCUAUUUCAUAGGAAUGUCAACAUAAAUCAAUCGGUUUUUAUAUCAUUACUCAAUUUCUUUUGGUGUUGCAUUUUACCGGAACAUGUUUGACAUCUAUAAAACAUUUUAGAAAACCCAGGUUAGAUUUCCAAAGUUGAAAUUAGAUGAACCCCAAGUUCUCUACUAGAACUUGCCUUGUUUGUCUACUAUAACCUGGUAAGAGAUAUCAACUCAAAUCCUAAUGAAAAAAAAUGGAGUAGAGUAGAAAUGAGGUUUGCAAUGUUAGAGUGAAAAAUUUGCAAUUAUUUUAUGGUAAAUAUCUCUCCCUAAAUGUCCUAGAAGAUUAUUUAUUUAUUUUCUUAUAUUACUUUUAUUUAAAAAGUAAAAAUAUGUAUAUUCAAAACAAAUUAAUAUUAGACCUGUUAUCCUAUUAAUAACAUAAAGAUAGUUUAUAUAAAAAUAAUAAUAUAACCUUGUAACCUUCUUAAUUUAUAACCUUGUAACCAAGUUCUUAAUUUAGCUAAAUCUGCAAGUUCUUAAUUUACUCUUUUAUUUAUAGCUUGAUGACGCAUAUGGUUUGGAUGAAUUCUGUGUCUUUUUCAAUAUCUUGAACUUCUGAUUAUUCCUUGCUUAUAAAAAUUGUCAUCUUCAACGGUUAAUAAAUUUUUUUGUUGGUUUGUUGUUUCUGCGCCUGCUGGAGUAACUUGGGGCACAAGUUCUCUACACAAUCUUCACUACCUUUUGCUUGAUAGCUGUGGUUUUUGUGAAGAGGAAUGUGAUGGAAACAAAAGGAAAAUCACUCCAAGAAAUUGAGAUUGCACUUCUGCCCGUUGAUUAGAGGUGUACAUUGUAAGGGCGAACAGUUCUGAAAAAGAAGUGUUUUUAGAAAAGUUUGAAGAUAAAGUUAAAGCUAGAACAAAGAAAGUUUGAAGAUGGGGUCGUGGUUGUGUUUACUACUUUUGUGAAAAAUUCUUUUCAUUUUGUGUAUAGUUCUUUUGUAAAAACUUGGUGUUCAGUACAACAUUAUAUAUUAGUAGACAUGCAAUUUGGAUGUUAUUUUCGUA